rnacentral:lncRNA from 1 species
CAGGCCACAGGUAGAGAGAGCAGUGAACCGUAAGAACCAUUCUUUUCUUUUCUUUUCUUUUCUUUUUUUUUCUGUGUUAUCUCAGUUUAAAAGUGAGCUCGGGGACUUGGUUUAACUCUCUAAGCAGUUUUAAAAGUGUUCUGCAGCACGAUACUUCAAUCCUAUGGAAUGUCCCAAUACUGCCAAAUAAAGGUCUGAAGCUGUGCUUUGACAAGCUGUCUCCAAAGUACAAGUCGGUGGAAGAAAGGAGUGGCCUUCAGCCCUGCGUCACCGUAGGGGCGGAGCCUGCUCUGAGCAGUGCCUGUGAGUUCUGUCCGGCCAGCCUUGGGGGAGGAGCUGCAUUUGACUAGGCUGCAGCUGACAAGAAGCUUCAAGCCUCGGUUAAUAGCAGAGUUGCAUGUGAUUGGACUUGAGCCCAGAAAGGCAGUAUAACUACAUACGUGCCCCAUAGGGUAAAAGGCCUUCUUGGAAGUCAGCUGCCUGAGGAUCAAGAUACUUGGCUGUCACAUUGCAAGACUACCCACCAGUCCACCUGACAGAGGGUAAGUAAGCCUUUUCCCAUUUCAGGAAUUGCUUUACGUUUGAAAACAUGCUGAGGUCUUAAAAUAUACUUGAUUUUGCUUCCUGCUUUGCAUCUGUAGCAUU